rnacentral:rRNA from 1 species
GACGAACGCUGGCGGCGUGCUUAACACAUGCAAGUCGAACGCUGAAGCUCAGCUUUUGUUGGGUGGAUGAGUGGCGAACGGGUGAGUAACACGUGAGUAACCUGCCUCCUUCUUUGGGAUAACGCCCGGAAACGGGUGCUAAUACUGGAUAUUCACUGGUCUUCGCAUGGGGGUUGGUGGAAAGGGUUUUUCUGGUGGGGGAUGGGCGCGCGGCCUAUCAGCUUGUUGGUGGGGUGAUGGCCUACCAAGGCUUUGACGGGUAGCCGGCCUGAGAGGGUGACCGGUAACAUUGGGACUGAGAUACGGCCCAGACUCGUACGGGGGGCGGCAGUGGGGAAUAUUGCACAAUGGGCGCAAGCCUGAUGCAGCGACGCUGCGUGAGGGAUGGGGGCCUUCGGGUUGUGAACCUCUUUCGCUCAUGGUCAAGCCGAAACAAUGGUUGUGGUGAGGGUAGUGGGUAAAGAAGCGCCGGCUAACUACGUG